rnacentral:rRNA from 1 species
UGGGGAAUUUUGGACAAUGGGGGAAACCCUGAUCCAGCCAUCCCGCGUGUGCGAUGAAGGCCUUCGGGUUGUAAAGCACUUUUGGCAGGAAAGAAACGUCAUGGGUUAAUACCCCGUGAAACUGACGGUACCUGCAGAAUAAGCACCGGCUAACUACGUGCCAGCAGCCGCGGUGAUACGUAGGGUGCAAGCGUUAAUCGGAAUUACUGGGCGUAAAGCGUGCGCAGGCGGUUCGGAUAGAAAGAUGUGAAAUCCCAGAGCUCAACUUUGGAACUGCAUUUUUAACUACCGGGCUAGAGUGUGUCAGAGGGAGGUGGAAUUCCGCGUGUAGCAGUGAAAUGCGUAGAUAUGCGGAGGAACACCGAUGGCGAAGGCAGCCUCCUGGGAUAACACUGACGCUCAUGCACGAAAGCGUGGGGAGCAAACAGG